UAAGGAAUAUUGGACAAUGGUCGCAAGACUGAUCCAGCCAUGCCGCGUGCAGGAAGACGGCCCUAUGGGUUGUAAACUGCUUUUGUACCAGAGAAAACCUAUCUACGUGUAGAUAGCUGAUAGUAUGGUAAGAAUAAGCAUCGGCUAACUUCGUGCCAGCAGCCGCGGUAAGACGAAGGAUGCAAGCGUUAUCAGGAUUCAUUGGGUUUAAAGGGUGCGUAGGCGGGCUUGUAAGUCAGUGGUGAAAUCUCUCAGCUUAACUGAGAAACUGCCAUUGAUACUGCAGGCCUAGAGUAUAGAUGACGUUGGCGGAAUAUGACAUGUAGUGGUGAACUACUUAGAUAUGUCAUAGAACACCGAUUGCGAAGGCAGCUAACGAAACUAUAACUGACGCUGAGGCACGAAAGUGCGGGGAUCAAACA
rnacentral:rRNA from 1 species